UCUCAGACAGCGAUUCCCCCAAAAUCUCGAACAUCCCUCUCCCUGUUCAUCAACGUAGAACACACCGACAAACUCUGGCGACCAACUCCGGUGAAGGACAAUAAUUUCCGGUGAAGGGCGACCAUUAUCGGCUAACAUAUCACAAUCUCCGAGGUAGUUAUCCCAUUGCACCAGCUUAAGGCAAUUAAUCCUUCAUCAAGCAGGACCAAUCCGUCCGAAAGAUAUGUCCAGACUAUAUCUGUCGAUAACCUGAAUUACUGGUGUAUACGGUCAAAAUCAUAUGCCUCCAAUUUUGUAGGCUCGAGAAGUUGCAUCGAGGACAAAAGUUCGAUAUAGACCAAGCUCGAGCUCGAAGGUAGAAUAAGAGGCUC